rnacentral:rRNA from 1 species
UACAGAGGGGGCAAGCGUUAUUCGGAAUUAUUGGGCGUAAAGAGCUCGUAGGCGGUUUGUUGCGUCGGCUGUGAAAUCCCGAGGCUCAACCUCGGGUCUGCAGUCGAUACGAGCAAACUAGAGUGUUGCAGGGGAGACUGGAAUUCCUGGUGUAGCGGUGAAAUUCGUAGAUAUUGGGAAGAACAUCGAUGGCGAAGGCAGCCAUCUGGACCGACACUGACGCUGAGGCGCGAAAGCGUGGGGAGCAAACAGG